GAUGAACGCUGGCGGCGUGCUUAAUACAUGCAAGUCGAGCGAACGGACGAGAAGCUUGCUUCUCUGAUGUUAGCGGCGGACGGGCGAGUAACACGUGGAUAACCUACCUAUAAGACUGGGAUAACUUCGGGAAACCGGAGCUAAUCCCGGAUAAUAUUUUGAACCGCAUGAUUCAAAAGUGAAAGACGGUCUUGCUGUCACUUCUAGAUGGAUCCGCGCUGCAUUAGCUAGUUGGGAAGGUAACGGCUUACCAAGGCAACGAUGCAUUGCCGACCUGAGAGAGGGAUAGGCCACACGGGAGCUGAGACACGGUCCAGACUCCUACGGGAGGCAGCAGUAGGGAAUCUUCCGCAAUGGGCGAAAGCAUGACGGAGCAACGCCGCGUGAGUGAUGAAGGUCUUCGGAUCGUAAAACUCUGUUAUUAGGGAAGAACAGAUGUGUAAGUAACUGUGCACAUCUUGACGGUACCUAAUCAGAAAGCAACGGCUAACUACGUG
rnacentral:rRNA from 1 species